CGGCGCCCUCUCCCCGCCCUGCCUGAGAGGUGGGGGCCAGAGACCCACACUGGCCGUGAGGUUUGCCAGGGCCCUGCCGUGGGUUCUGCCCUUUAGUCUCCAUAGCGUUCUGGGGCCUCGCCAGUGACACAGCCCGGCCAGAGCACCUCCUCUUACCACCGCCAAGGCCGCCUGGAUGCAGAGGGGAAGGGUGGCAGUCAAGAGGGGCCCAGGAAGAGGUUCCACAGGCCAAGGAGCUACGGGCCUCCAGCCCGGCCGGGUCCCUGGGUACAGGCGGUCCCAGCCCCCACCCCAUCGCUGCCCAGGACAGUCUGAUUUGAAGCCGUUUCCCUAGGAUCGUCUGGGGCAGCUCCUGUCCUGUGCACGACGGCCAGCCCCCCCGGCAGGUGGCUCUGGGCCUCCGUGGGGCAGGGAUGGGGUCUCCCCGCGGGGCUGCCCACCCGUGCUGCGGACAGGUGCGGGGCGCCCUGCACAGGGAAGACAACUGGGCUGGCGGAAGUUGAGGACAUUUCUGAAGUGCUCACA